GUGUCAGCCGCCGCGGUAAUACGGAAGAUGCGAGCGUUAUCCGGAUUUAUUGGGUUUAAAGGGAGCGUAGGCGGGCUGUUAAGUCAGCGGUCAAAUGUCAGGGCCCAACCUUGGCAUGCCGUUGAUACUGGCGGCCUUGAGUUCACACAAGGAAGGUGGAAUUCGUCGUGUAGCGGUGAAAUGCUUAGAUAUGACGAAGAACUCCGAUUGCGAAGGCAGCCUUCUGGGGUGUUACUGACGCUGAGGCUCGAAAGUGCGGGAAUCAAACAGGAUUAGAUACCCUGGUAGUCCGCACCGUAAACGAUGAGCGCCCGUCAUUGGCGACAGACAGUCAGUGACCAAGGGAAACCGUUAAGCGCUCCACCUGGGGAGUACGCCGGCAACGGUGAA
rnacentral:rRNA from 1 species